rnacentral:lncRNA from 1 species
CAGUGGUAUGACUGCUGUGCCUGGGCUUUUAUUCCCUUCCUCUCACCUGCGGCUGAGCAUUCCCUUUUCAGAAAGGUGGAAUCUUAGUUUCUUCGAACAAUUCUCAAUGCAACUAUGCCUCAGUCUCCAACUAGUUGGGUUGGCUGUAUGAGAUUCUCUGUAUCCUAAAAGAUUCACCGUGAUUUGACUAUUUAUGCUGGCUGUUAACCUUCCACGGCCCUCCUCCUGAGAUCGGACUAUUUAUGCUGGCUGUUAACCUUCCACGGCCCUCCUCCUGAGAUCGGCUUUGCUUUUCACGUACGCAGAGUUAUUCUUCUCUCAUUAAGUGAUUCGCAAAAAAAACUAGAAAAUCAGCACAUGUAUCUUGCAUAUUUGCUUGGAUGGGUACAACUAUAUUUUGUGGAUAAAAGGACAGCCCGGUGCACAAGGCAUCCCGCGUUCACUCAGGUCCGGGGAAGGGCAGCACUCCAAGGGGUGUGAUGUAGAUAACCUACCCUAAUGCAAGCAUUAGUGGCUGCUUCCGCGGUUCGAACUCGUGACCACACGGAGACAAUUUAACCAUUGCUCCAAGACUCCCCUUCAACAACUAUAUUUUGUGGAUAGUUUUAUGAAAACUCGAUCGAAGUUGGACGCCAGCAGUAAUGAACUUUCUUGCCAGAAUAUAUGUUGUGCAUUUGGGUAACAUAAUAGUUGCUCGAGAGAGUCUUUAAACUUGUGGACAUUUUAGCUAACAGGAAGAGGAGGGGGGGAGGGGGGUAACGGGGAGGUGUUGGUCAGAGUUUAGGUGGUCUAUGCUGCUAUAAGCUGUUAGCAACGCCUAACAGCUGGAAUAUUUUUCUUGGUGGAG